rnacentral:rRNA from 1 species
UGGGGAAUAUUGCGCAAUGGGCGAAAGCCUGACGCAGCCACGCCGCGUGAGCGAUGAAGGCCUUCGGGUCGUAAAGCUCUGUGGGGAGAGAAGAAUAAAGCCUGUGAAGAGCGGGCCUUGACGGUAUCUCCUUAGCAAGCACCGGCUAACUCCGUGCCAGCAGCCGCGGUAAUACGGAGGGUGCAAACGUUGCUCGGAAUCAUUGGGCGUAAAGCGCACGUAGGCGGCGAAGUAAGUUGGGUGUGAAAGCCCCGGGCUCAACCCGGGAAGUGCAUUCAAAACUGUUUCGCUUGAAUCUCGGAGGGGGUCAGAGAAUUCCCGGUGUAGAGGUGAAAUUCGUAGAUAUCGGGAGGAAUACCAGUGGCGAAGGCGCUGACCUGGACGAAGAUUGACGCUGAGGUGCGAAAGCGCGGGGAGCAAACAGG